rnacentral:tRNA from 5 species
GCCAGGGUAGCUCAGUGGUAGAGCAGAGGACUCAUAAGCCUUUGGUCGCCGGUUCAAUCCCGGCCCCUGGCACCA